rnacentral:rRNA from 1 species
GUGGGAUGACGUCAAAUCAUCAUGCCCCUUAUGUUCUGGCUACACACGUGCUACAAUGGCCGGUACAGACGGACGCAAAGCCGCGAGGUGGAGCAAAUCCUAAAAAGACCGGUCUCAGUUCGGAUUGCAGGCUGCAAUUCGCCUGCAUGAAGUCGGAAUCGCUAGUAAUCGCAGGUCAGCAUACUGCGGUGAAUACGUUCCCGGGCCUU